GAAAUCACGGUCAAUCUUAAAAUUCAGAAUUCAGAUAAUAAUGGCUUAUCAUGUGAACUUGCAUACGGUUGUAGCAAUAGUAACAUACGAGUGCCUCAGCGCUAAUUUUACAGAACUUGAUUUGUCUAAAUAAACGGAGCAGGGUUUGAAUUUUUCAUUCUCCCCAUUAUCAUUACAGGUUGGUGUCUUCUCUUGUUGUCCCUGGGUCCUGCUCAUUAGGGCACAGAACAGGAAAUGUUUUCAAAUGCUCUGCAACGGAAAAUGUAAAUAAUUGUUUCUUAUUGGACAAGCCCUCGUAGUCCCUCCCUGUUUCAGUCAGUUUUUCCCUGUUUGGUACCUAAUGAACACGAUGCAGGUUAAAACAGUUAUACAAUCUAAAUGAUGGAUAGCAAACAAUCAGAUAUGGCUUCAGACUAAAAUAUGAAAGCAAGAUGAUGAAACAUCGAUGGAGGCCUUUGGGCGGUGUGAUUGGCUGGGGGGGAGGGGUCUUCAGCUGUUUCUGAUGCAAUGGCCGUGUAAACGCUGUGACCUGCGCACGCACACACAACCCUGGGGCCCCUCUCUCGUGGCACAGUGACGCAGCCACUACUGAAAUAACCCUCAGUCUCUACUGAUAUAACUGUGGUCAUACUGCCUAAUUUACUGAAAUGCCAAGCCGCCCCAAAGCCUGAAAGGUCACAGGUCAAAUGGAAACAUGGGAAACAUGUACAGUACUUCUUGUCUAGCUCAACAUCACUCUAUUGACCAGGUUUAACUUGUCAAACAUGAUGUUUAGAUUAAGUUGGAAAAUGAUAUUUUGACAAUGACAAAAUCUGGUGAUAACACGCAUGUUAUCAUCAAAGAAAUAUAGGAUUGAUAAAACAUAACACCUCAAUCAGGGUAUGAUACACUGAUACUGUUCCACAGGCACGACACUUGACCUCUGAAUACUAACCCCUGGCUCUCCCACCCCACCUUGUGUCCAAGCAGUCUACUUCAUUUACCGCAGUGUUAGCCGCUAGCUUGGGCCACUUCUGACCUAAAAUUGUAGCCAGCCAGCCAGCCAGCCAGCCAGCCAGCCAGCCAGCCAGCCAGCCAGCCAGCCUGCCUGCGGAAUCAAGAAGCAGAGGGCUGUGCACAUAUUCCCUGGCAAGACACCAGGCUCUCCAGCAAUGCCAGGCAUCCAGGCCAUAGACAUAUCCAGGCCAAGGAGGGGGGGGGGGAUCCUCCCUAGGAGCUACAUUAGCUGAGUGUGCUACUGUACACUCUUAGAAAAAAAGGUGCAAUCCAGAACUAAAAAGGGUUCUUCUGCUGUCCCCAUAGGAGAACCCUUCGAAGAACCCCUUUUGGUUCCAGGUAGAAC
rnacentral:lncRNA from 13 species